rnacentral:rRNA from 1 species
GACGAACGCUGGCGGCGUGCUUAACACAUGCAAGUCGAACGGAAAGGCCCCUUUGGGGGUACUCGAGUGGCGAACGGGUGAGUAACACGUGAGUAACCUGCCCUUGACUUCGGGAUAACUUCAGGAAACUGGGGCUAAUACCGGAUAGGAAUCCUUGCUGCAUGGUGGGGGUUGGAAAGCUUCGGCGGUUUUGGAUGGACUCGCGGCUUAUCAGCUUGUUGGUGGGGUAGUGGCUUACCAAGGCUUUGACGGGUAGCCGGCCUGAGAGGGCGACCGGCCACAUUGGGACUGAGAUACGGCCCAGGCUCCUACGGGAGGCAGCAGUGGGGAAUAUUGCACAAGGGGCGGAAGCCUGAUGCAGCAGCGCCGCGGGCGGGAUGACGGCCUUCGGGUUGUAAACCGCUUUCAGCAGGGGCGAAGCUUGUGGUGACGGUACCUGCAGAAGAAGCACCGGCUAACUACGUG